rnacentral:lncRNA from 1 species
GAUACAGCUUAGGAAUCCUUUAAAUACACAACACAUAGGCCUGUCCUCACUCACCUGGUGGUAAACAGUUUGAUGUGUGUGGUUUGUCUUUUGUUUUGGCUGCACUCUCGAUGCAGAAGUUCCCAGGCUAGGGAUUGAAACUUCUUCCUGCCCAGCUGUUUAGUAUCUGGCCCCAGUCAGAGUCCUCCCCAUUGCUGUUCAUCUUUGAAGGAAGCCAGUCUGGUCCUUAAGGCUUGUGGGAGGAGGGACAGGGUAUGGGCUAUAGAGCACAACACCUACCUGGGUUUGCUGCCACCGCCUUUGGGCUCCCUCUCCCCAGCUCCUCUGGGCUGACUCUCUUAGCUAAAAGGCUGGAUCAUAGGCAAUAAAGAUAGCCCAUGGGCUGGCCUUCAGUUCAGUUCCCCCUUCUCAGGCCCAUCAGCCCCAGGGAUCCCCUAAGCCCCUUGCUCUGGGACUGAGCCAGCCACCAUGGCAGGUGAAAUAGGGGUGGGCAUCCCAGGCCAAGUGAAGUGUGAUGGGUCCACAGACUCCACCGCUUUCUCUUCCCUGUCCCUGCUCUGUACCCCAGGGGUGUAGGGCUCAGGGCACUUGGAUGGGGGGCGCAGGUAACCCUGGGCAUUCAUACUUCCUUAGCCCCCUCUUCCCUGCACCUGGCACGAGAAAGUCUCUGAUCCCAGGGCUGCAGAGCCAGGUCCACUUCCCAGGCUCCUGUACAGUGAUGUAGGGGUUAUGAGAAACUCCCAGGAGGCUGCUUUUCCACACUAUCACCUCAGGACAUUUGAACGAUUAAUAGUUUAGCAGCAGGGAGAUAUGCCACCAUGUAAGCAGUAAGUUUCCCAGUUAGAAAACAACCAAUCAGAGAAAAAAUGUUUUUAAUAGAGAAGAAGAGGUAGUGGGAAGGCUGAGUUUUCUAUUUUUCACCUGGUAGAUUAAUGAUUAUAUGUCUGCACAGCAGCAGCUAAUAAUUUCAAAUAGGAGGCAUAUGAUUAAAUCUCUCGAUGUUAUCUGCAAAUUGUUUCUCUGAGCUCUGCUUUCAAAGGGCAGCUCUCUAAUUAGAGUCAGAGAUGGUUAUUAUGGAGUUAGCCCUCACAAUCCACUGUCUCCACAGGUGAGUUAUUCUUUAAAGCACUAAUUAGGCAUACAUUCAGUUCCUUGUACCGUAUCUGACCUUCAACGUUUUGUUCUUUUCUCAUUAGAAUCAUUUCUCUCAAACUUCGCCCGCAGUAUGGAGAGACUAUUGAGCACUCUUCGCUGCUCCCUCCCAAGGACUUCAAUCAAGUAGUCUGCCCCUUCUGCCUGCGGCACUUUGCUCAAUAAGACCUCUGAAAGUAACAGAGGGUUCGGCACUUUGCUCAAUAAGACCUCUGAAAGUAACAGAGGGUUCGCUCUUGACUUGUUAUUAUUGAAAUGGACCUUGUUCAGGGUCAAGGAUCCCUACUUUAAUCUCGAAUGGUCACCAGUGAGCAAAAUGCAUCAUACCUAAUACGUCAUCACUCCUUAAUCUUCGUUUUGCUCACUGGUGACCAUUCGAGAUCAUUUUAGAGAUGUCUUAAAUUUAGGUUCUUUUUUGAAGGGUUAAUUAAACGACAUUAUAGGAACUGCAUUGACAUCCUUUAAAAAAAUUCCCCCCCCUCUCUUCUGAGUGAGCUCAGUUUCUGGCUGGGCUGGUGGGUGACAAUGCUGAGGCAGUGGCCUUUUCUGACAACAGAUCAGGAAAACUAAUGGCUUUCAGGGCCACUCACUGUGUGCCAGGCUGGCACAAGGACGGUACAAGUGAUCUCAGCCCAUAUCACAACCCCGAGGAGAGGGGAAGAGGAGACGGAGGCUCCGUGGUAGAGGGUCUGUCUGUGGGAGAGCUGGGGCUCAGCCCCUUGGUCUGACGUGGGACCUGGCCUCUUCUCACCUCACUGAGGAAAAGAUGGGAGCUGCUGGUGGGUCCUGCAACCUGAUGACAGUCAGCUUCAGGUGUCAAAUCAGUGACACUCCCACCAACAGCUAUGUCUCCUGCUGUUCAUCCUCUGUGAAUCUCUGUCUGCUUUUCAUUCAGUGGGUGGCUCCUGCAAGUGCA